rnacentral:rRNA from 2 species
CGGGGAGGUAGUGACGAAAAAUAACGAUACGGGACUCAUCCGAGGCCCCGUAAUCGGAAUGAGUACACUUUAAAUCCUUUAACGAGGACCAAUUGGAGGGCAAGUCUGGUGCCAGCAGCCGCGGUAAUUCCAGCUCCAAUAGCGUAUAUUAAAGUUGUUGCGGUUAAAAAGCUCGUAGUUGAAUCUGUGUGUCACAGUGUCGGUUCACCGCUCGCGGUGCCUAACUGGCAUUAUGUGGUACGUCCUACCGGUGGGCUUAGCUCCUUGCGGGCGGUCCAACUAAUCUCCCAUCGCGGUGCUCUUCACUGAGUGUCGAGGUGGGCCGGUACGUUUACUUUGAACAAAUUAGAGUGCUCAAAGCAGGCUACCUUCGCCUGAAUACUGCGUGCAUGGAAUAAUGGAAUAGGACCUCGGUUCUAUUUUGUUGGUUUUCGGAACCCCGAGGUAAUGAUUAAUAGGGACAGAUGGGGGCAUUCGUAUUGCGACGUUAGAGGUGAAAUUCUUGGAUCGUCGCAAGACGGACUAAAGCGAAAGCAUUUGCCAAAAAUGUUUUCAUUAAUCAAGAACGAAAGUUAGAGGUUCGAAGGCGAUCAGAUACCGCCCUAGUUCUAACCAUAAACGAUGCCAGCUAGCGAUCCGCCGAAGUUCCUCCGAUGACUCGGCGGGCAGCUUCCGGGAAACCAAAGCUUUUGGGUUCCGGGGGAAGUAUGGUUGCAAAGCUGAAACUUAAAGGAAUUGACGGAAGGGCACCACCAGGAGUGGAGCCUGCGGCUUAAUUUGACUC